rnacentral:miRNA from 1 species
CAUGCUGUCUCUCGCUCUGCA